AAGCGGUUCGGCCGCCAUCUUGGGUAGGUGCCCCGGCAGUGGCUGAGGCGCCCCGGCAGUGGCUGAGGCGGAGCGCUGCAAGCUGAAGUAGGGUUGGCCUGCGUACCCCGUUCUGGGCCCCAAGUCGGCCCGAAAAACCCACGGACCUCCCCGCCCAGGCCCCGAAUCGUGGCGCAGGUCAGGGGCUCUGGGGCCAGCCGCAACCCAACAAGGCAGGGACGGCGGGCGGCGGCAGGCGAGGCUCCGAAGAGGUUACUUGCUGGCAUUCCUAUUAAACAACCUGGCAUUUGUUUACAAAUGAAAAACACCCUAACCAUGGAGGUCAGAUGGGCCAGCAGAAGUGGAACUAGGGGAGAACACACCUGCUCAACAAGGAGAAGGCAGCCUUGGGACCAUCAAGUUGUGAAUGCAAGCAAAUAAAUGUUUCGUAGACUUUUUAAAAGUAA